rnacentral:rRNA from 1 species
AUGACUAGGGAUAACCUUAGGAAGAGACACAUCAUCAAACCCCUUGAUUGUGUUUACUGCUUGGAACAAGAGUCUUGUUCUCACCUAUUUUUUGAAUGUAUAGUUGCUAAACAUCUCUGGGCCCACAUUGAGGAAUAUUUCUCUAGUCAGAUUGGCUCAUCCUUCGAAUAUGUCGCCAGAUUCUGGAUUGCUACCAAAAAUUGCUUAGUUUUAAAUACUGUUAGCUCAGCUGUCCUUUGGUGCCUCUGGAAAUAUAGAAAUGAUGUGAUUUUCAGUAACACCUCCUGGAUUUCCAUUCCGCGGGUCUUGAGGUUGAUCAGGAACAUGGUGAGGAACCGGGUGAUUCUCUCCUCCGGAUCGGACACAGACAAGUUGAUGAGCUUCGUGGAAACCCUAACAAGAUCCCUCCAGAAACUGUUGGCGAUCACUUGUGGCUGA